UACAGAGGGUGCAAGCGUUAAUCGGAAUUACUGGGCGUAAAGCGUGCGCAGACGGUUGCGUAAGUCAGAUGUGAAAGCCCCGGGCUCAACCUGGGAAUUGCAUUUGAGACUGCGUAGCUAGGGUGCGGAAGAGGGAAGCGGAAUUUCCGGUGUAGCGGUGAAAUGCGUAGAUAUCGGAAGGAACACCAGUGGCGAAAGCGGCUUCCUGGUCCAGCACCGACGUUCAGGCACGAAAAGC
rnacentral:rRNA from 1 species